rnacentral:rRNA from 1 species
GACGAACGCUGGCGGCGUGCUUAACACAUGCAAGUCGAACGCUGAAGCUUGGUGCUUGCACUGGGUGGUUGAGUGGCGAACGGGUGAGUAAUAAGUGAGUAACCUGCCCUUGACUCUGGGAUAAGCCUGGGAAACUGGGUCUAAUACUGGAUACGACAUGUCACCGCAUGGUGGUGUGUGGAAAGGGUUUUACUGGUUUUGGAUGGGCUCACGGCCUAUCAGCUUGUUGGUGGGGUAAUGGCUCACCAAGGCGACGACGGGUAGCCGGCCUGGGAGGGUGACCGGCCACACUGGGACUGAGACACGGCCCAGACUCCUACGGGAGGCAGCAGUGGGGAAUAUUGCACAAUGGGCGGAAGCCUGAUGCAGCGACGCCGCGUGAGGGAUGACGGCCUUCGGGUUGUAAACCUCUUUCAGCACGGAAGAAGCGAAAGUGACGGUACGUGCAGAAGAAGCGCCGGCUAACUACGUG